rnacentral:rRNA from 1 species
GUUUGAUCCUGGCUCAGGACGAACGCUGGCGGCGUGCCUAACACAUGCAAGUCAGGGAGAAACCUCUCUUCGGAGGGGGAGUAAACCGGCGGACGGGUGAGUAACGCGUAGGUAACCUGCCCUUGGGAUGGGGAUAACUCGCCGAAAGGCGGGCUAAUACCGAAUAAAGUCUCAGUGCCAUGGUACUGAGAUGAAAGAUGGGAUUUUAUGAUCCUAUCGCCCGAGGAGGGGCCUGCGUCCGAUUAGCUAGUUGGUAGGGUAAUGGCCUACCAAGGCCACGAUCGGUAGCCGGUCUGAGAGGAUGGCCGGCCACAUUGGGACUGAGACACGGCCCAGACUCCUAAGGGAGGCAGCAGUGGGGAAUAUUGCGCAAUGCCCGCAAGGGUGACGCAGCGACGCCGCGUGGCCGAUGAAGCCCUUCGGGGUGUAAAGGCCUGUCGUGGGGGAAGAAAAAGUCAGAUGAGAAUAUCAUCUGACCUUGACGGUACCCCACAAGAAAGCUCCGGCUAACUCCGUGCCAGCAGCCGCGGUAAUACGGGGGGAGCGAGCGUUGUCCGGAAUCACUGGGCGUAAAGGGUGUGUAGGCGUCCCGGUAAGUCUCUGGUGAAAGCCUUCCGCUCAACGGAAGAAUUGCCAGAGAUACUGUCGGGAUUGAGUUCGGGAGAGGGGAGCGGAAUUCCUGGUGUAGCGGUGAAAUGCGUAGAUAUCAGGAAGAACGCCAGAGGCGAAGGCGGCUCCCUAGCCCGAAACUGACGCUGAGGCACGAAAGCGUGGGGAGCGAACGGGAUUAGAUACCCCGGUAGUCCACGCCCUAAACGAUGGAUGCUAGGUGUUGGGGGUUCGACCCCCUCAGCGCCGAAGCUAACGCGUUAAGCAUCCCGCCUGGGGACUACGGCCGCAAGGCUGAAACUCAAAGGAAUUGACGGGGGCCCGCACAAGCGGUGGAACAUGUGGUUUAAUUCGAUGCAACGCGAAGAACCUUACCUGGGCUUGAC